rnacentral:rRNA from 1 species
GACAGAGGGGGCAAGCGUUGCUCGGAAUUACUGGGCGUAAAGGGCGCGUAGGCGGGAUGGCAAGUCGGUCGUGAAAUCCCUCGGCUCAACUGAGGAGCGUCGAUCGAAACUGCCGUUCUUGAGGGUUGCAGAGGAGACUGGAAUUCCCGGUGUAGCGGUGAAAUGUGUAGAGAUCGGGAGAAACACCGGUGGCGAAGGCAGCUCGCUGGGACGGUACUGACGCUGAGGCGCGAAAGCCAGGGGAGCAAACGGG